UACAGAGGUCUCAAGCGUUGUUCGGAUUCAUUGGGCGUAAAGGGUGCGUAGGUGGCGGGGCAAGUCUGGUGUGAAAUCCCGGGGCUCAACCCUGGAACUGCACUGGAUACUGCUUUGCUAGAGUACUGGAGAGGGAACUGGAAUUUACGGUGUAGCAGUGAAAUGCGUAGAUAUCGUAGGGAAGACCAGUGGCGAAGGCGAGUUCCUGGACAGUUACUGACACUGAGGCACGAAGGCCAGGGGAGCAAACGGG
rnacentral:rRNA from 1 species